rnacentral:rRNA from 1 species
AUUGAACGCUGGCGGCAGGCUUAACACAUGCAAGUCGAGCGAGCGGCGGACGGGUGAGUAAUGUCUGGGAAACUGCCUGAUGGAGGGGGAUAACUACUGGAAACGGUAGCUAAUACCGCAUACCAUCAGAUGUGCCCAGAUGGGAUUAGCUAGUAGGUGGGGUAAUGGGUCACCUAGGCGACGAUCCCUAGCUGGUCUGUGAGGGUGACCGGCCACACUGGGACUGGGACACGAACCUGUCGCCUACGGGAGGCAGCGGUGGGGAAUAUUGCACAAUGGGCGCAAGCCUGAUGCAGCCAUGCCGCGUGUGUGAAGAAGGCCUUCGGGUUUUAAAGCACUUUCAGCGAGGAGGCGUUACGCGCAGAAGAAGCACCGGCUAACUCCGUGCCAGCAGCCGCGGUAAUAC